UGUAACUACAGAUUGAUAGUUACCUGGGUAGUUACAUACAUGCUACAAUUGUGUACAUGUCUAUGUAACUAUCUAUUCAUGUAACUAUGCAUGUAAAUAUCUAUUCAUGUAACUAUGCAUGUAACUAUCAAUGUAACUAUCCAGGUAACUAUCAAUGUAACUAUCCAUUCAUGUAACUAUUUAUGUAACUAUGCAUGUAAUUAUCAAUGUAACUGUCUAUGUAACUAUCCAUGUAACUAUUUAUGUAACUAUGCAUGUAAUUAUCAAUGUAACUGUCUAUGUAACUAUCAAUGUAACUAUCCAUGUAAGUACAGAUUGAUAGUUACUUGGGUAGUUACAUACAUGCUACACUUACAUUUGUGUACUUGUCUAUAUAACUAUGCAUGUAACUAUGCAUGUAACUAUGCAUGUAACUAUCGAUGUAACUAUGCAUGUAAUUAUUGAUGUAACUAUAUAUUGAUAGUUACCUGGGUAGUUACAUGCAUGCUACACUUGUGUACCUGCCUAUGUAACGAUUCAUUUAUGUAACUAUGCAUGUAGUUAUCCAUCUAUGUAACUAUGCAUGUAACUAUCCAUGUAACAAUCCAUGUAACAAUUCAUGUAACUAUCCAUGUAACCAUCCAUCUAUGUAAUUAUCCAUGUAAUUAUCCAUGUAACUAUCUAUGUAACUACAGAUUGUUAGUUACAUGAGUAGUUACAUUGCUAGUUACAUGAGUAGUUACAUGGAUUUUAAUAGAUUUUUGUUCUAAUAUGCAGUGUGCCGCUGCCGUUGCGGUGCAGCGGCACGCUGCAAUUAUUAUUAUGUAAAUGACUUGUGUACCUACAUUAAGGUACUUAUCUAACUAUCAAUGUAACUAUCCAUGUAACUAUGCAUGUAACUACCGACUGAUAGUUAUAUGUGUAGCUUCAUACAUUCUACAUAACAAGCUACACUUUUUUUUCUCACACAGAACACAGAAUAUGGCAAAGUAAAAUAAUCUGUAUUAACUGUAAAUCAUCAAAUUAAGAAUACCUAGGAAAACAAUUUAGUGCCAACACAACUCUUAGAACUCUGGCUUUCCUCAUUCAUCGUUUAAUCCAAAAUUCAUUACAAAAUAGAGCAGAAAGGGAAAGUGAACCAUUAUUGUCACCAUGCUUUAGUGCACUUAAUAUUGAUUUCAGUAUGACUUUAUCACUACCUUCCUUCAAUGCAAUCUGCAUAAGUAUAAAACAUUAUAAAAUUGUUUGGGUGUUGAAAAACCCAAAAACAGAAACAUCAAGCUUAAUAAAUAGAGAUAUGUUCCACACAAAUAAUCUUUCAUUUAGCUGUUCAAUAAAACCACCAACUCUCUGCAUCUCCUUAAACACUUUAAGUCCUUAAACACUUGCUUGGUAGACUUUUCUCCUUCAUUUUCCAGUUUUCUGCAUAAUGACCUUCCCUCCUUCCGACGGCUAUAACUUUCUCUACAAAAUAGCUAUCAACGAUCCGCAAAAUGUUCUGGAAACUAGACUCUUCUAGCUUUCCGUUGAUGUAAGGCAAGUUUCUUGGAUCGCUCUGAGCUGCCUGCAAUUUGCUGUCGAAUUUGACUGAAAAUCUGGGCAGAAUUUCGUAUUUCUUAAGCUUUAAUCUUUAAUGUGCAUCUCUUUGCAGCGUGUAGCAUCUCUUUCCUCACAUUCCUUACUCAAGAACUUGAGAAGGUCAGCCCUCACUAGCACAUCAAGGUCUACUGCGCUCUCAUCGAGCAAAAACACCAAAAUUCAUUCACAGACAUUUCCUCAAACAUCUUGUGUGCAUAACCAAAUAACAUAACACAAAUUAAACAUCCCAAACAAACAUGCAUUUACAAUCUAAUCAAUAAAAGAUUCAUGACACAACAUUCUAUUUCAUAAAUGACAUACCCAUAAUACAAUAAAACCCAUGAAUUCAAGCUUCUUUUUCUAUUUCUAGUUUUAAUCACAUGAAAUAGAAAAAGCAAUCAAUUGAUAAAGAAGAGAGAACCAUAUUAGCUUACCUUGUAAGCUGAAGACGAUGAUCAAAAUUAAUCCGAAAAGCAAUGACAUAAGAGAUUUGUUAAAGGAUGAAAGAAAAAUCAAAGUGGAUGAUGAAAUCGUCGAUGACGACGGCGGAGAGCUCCGUUGUGUGUUUCUAGAUAUGUUCCCUCUGAGCUCGCUUUGGUAAUGGUAUCAAUCUCUCGGUGGAGGACAACGAGUUCGCCGGAGAGAGUGAUUUGCCGGAGAGAGAGAAAGAGAAGAGAGAGAGAGAGUGAGGGAGAUGAGUUGAGAGUGAGUGAGAGAGAUGGAUAAUGGUUAAUAUGUGGUUAUUUUUGUCAGUGGCAUGACAUGUAAUUUUUUUAAAAUUUAUGGGCAACGGUUUAAAGAAUUUAAAUGGGUGUAUUGUUUUAUCAUCAAGGAACAUUUGUUAACAGUUUUAUUAUUUGUUACUUCUAAAUGUAUCAUUUUAUCAUUGGCCCAAACUUUUUUUAUUUUUUGAUCCCGUGCAUCUGAUGCACAGGUAAGAGGCUAGUACGUAGUAAUAAAAAGAUGGAUAGUGUGUGAAUAGCAUAGAUUGUCUAGCUACUUGGAGUAUCAAUGCUUAGAUGAAAUCGGCCAAGUUGUUUAUUACAAACAAAUAUAUGGAGUAAAAUCUACACUCUCAUUCGAUCUACAUAUUUUCACUCUUAUCUCUACUACUAUAUAUGAAGAUAACUAGCAAGCCAAUCACUCAGGCUACACCAAAUUGUGAAUCGCCCCAAAAAGUUGAUAAUAAAAAGACAUUUAUAUAUUUAUUUCCUUCACAAUUAAUGCACGAGUACAAAGCUAGUAAAUAUAAAGUAUAUAUGUAUAUGAAUCCAUGCAUGUUACAUCGGUGGUGAAGGGAGGCUGUUGAAGCAUACUCCAUUGAAGUAAAAAGAGUGGAGAGGAGCUCCUACGCUUUCUAUCUCUAACUCUGGGGAUGGAGAAGGAUGCUCUUCUUGGAAUGCAUCAAGAAUUGGACCAGGUCUUGCGCGUGAACUACUAUCCUCCAUGCCACAUGCCUGAUAAAGUAAUGGGUGCAAGUCCACACUCGGACACAAACACCAUAACCAUACUUAUGCAAGAAGACGAUGUCACCGGAUUACAUAUCAGAAAACAAGGUCAAUGGGUUCCAGUGAAGCCAAUUCCAAAUGCUCUCGUUGUAAAUGUCGGUGAUUUGAUUGAGGUAAUCAUCAUAGUGAUGCUAAUCGAUGAAGUAUUAGAAGAAGAAAAAAUAAUUGAAAAAGGUUUAUAUAAUAGCUAUGUCUAUGAAUGACAGAUAUGGAGCAACGGGAAGUACAAGAGCAUUGAGCAUAGAGGCGUCACAAACGAAAGUAAAGUGAGGAUAUCAUAUGCAUCAUUUCUUUGCCCACAAGGUGAUGUGGAAGUUGCACCAUUUGAUCAUCUGCUGGAGCCACCUGGGUCCCUGCAAGCUUACAAGAAAAUCAAAUACGGAGAUUAUACGAUGAAUGCUUUGAAGGGAAAACUUAGGGGGAAGUCGUACAUUCAUAUGGCCAAGAUUGCUAGUGCCUGAGCGCAGAUGUUUCAAUCUGCAAAAGUUAUAUAGUGGGUUCGUUUGUCAUCAAUAAUAUGAACCAUAUGCAUGCUUCAGUGUUUUGUCCCCUUAGGGCUUAGGCCAUAUUUCUAGUAUUGAAUUGGUGUAGAAUGUUUCUGUGUGGAGUUUUUACACCCAGUUAAAUAAAGUUUUAUGCCUCUGUGGGUAAGUGCGUUUGUAAUUUCAAAAUAUAAUGUUGUUGCUAUCAUACGAAAAAACUUUAAAUAAGUGGGUGGUUAAC
rnacentral:lncRNA from 1 species